AUUGAACGCUGGCGGCAUGCCUUACACAUGCAAGUCGAACGGCAGCACGGGAGCAAUCCUGGUGGCGAGUGGCGAACGGGUGAGUAAUACAUCGGAACGUGCCCAGUCGUGGGGGAUAACGUAGCGAAAGCUACGCUAAUACCGCAUACGAUCUAUGGAUGAAAGCGGGGGAUCGCAAGCCCUUGCACGAUUGGAGUGGCCGAUAUCAGAUUAGGUAGUUGGUGGGGUAAAGGCUCACCAAGCCGACGAUCUGUAGCUGGUCUGAGAGGACGACCAGCCACACUGGAACUGAGACACGGUCCAGACUCCUACGGGAGGCAACAGUGGGGAAUUUUGGACAAUGGGCGCAAGCCUGAUCCAGCAAUGCCGCGUGCAGGAUGAAGGCCUUCGGGUUGUAAACUGCUUUUGUACGGAGCGAAAAAGUCUUUUUUAAUACAAAGGACUCAUGACGGUACCGUAAGAAUAAGCACCGGCUAACUACGUGCCAGCAGCCGCAGUAA
rnacentral:rRNA from 1 species